UACAGAGGUCUCGAGCGUUGUUCGGAUUCAUUGGGCGUAAAGGGCGCGUAGGCGGCGGGGUAAGUCUGGUGUGAAAUCUCGGGAGCUCAACUCCGAAAUUGCACUGGAUACUGCUCUGCUAGAGGGCUGGAGAGGAGAUCGGAAUUCACGGUGUAGCAGUGAAAUGCGUAGAUAUCGUGAGGAAGACCAGUGGCGAAGGCGGAUCUCUGGACAGCUCCUGACGCUGACACGGCGAAAGCUAGGGGAGCGAACGGG
rnacentral:rRNA from 1 species